AAUAAGUGUAGUUUUAUAUUAUUUACGUUUAACGUUUGACCGUUUAUUUUAUUUGAAAAAUUUUUAUGAUUAGUAUUUUUAUUGCUAUUAGAUGAUAAAACAUGAAUAGUACUUUAUGUGUGACUAAUUAUUUUUAAAUUUUUCACAAAUUUUUUAAAUAAGACGGACGGUCAAACGUUGGGCUCAGAUAUCCACGGCUGCACUUAUU
rfam:Oryza sativa Japonica Group DNA, chromosome 2, cultivar: Nipponbare, complete sequence.